UACAAGCAAAUGAGCCAUCUCUAACUAGUGACCCUGAUCACUCAGUUAACACCGCUACCAUCAAAGAAACUCCCCAGGAAACUUGCAAAUGCCUAGAAUGACAGGGGACCAGACUCCCCUUUCUCCAAUCCGUGGUCCCAUUCCAAGAAAGAAAACAGUCGACAAUAUAUCAAGCAGAGAGAAGUCAAAGCCUCCUGGGCCCAGCCAGCAGAAACGCUCCUAGCAAGGAGAACUGAAAAACCGCUCCCAAGACCAAUACUUUCUGGUUAACCAUCAGGGAUUGCUUCACUCUUUCAGAGAAAACCACCGGGGGUAAAAAAGAAGAAAAAAGAAAAGCAUUGCUGCAAUUAACAAAAUCUCUAGAGAACAGAGAGAACUGAAUAGCUGCUGUGGGACAUGGACUCUAACAACUUAGAUCUACCAUUAUCCUGGUCUGUUCUGAUGAAAUUUAAGUAAAGAUUUACCCAAUUUCCCAGAAUGGAAGCACAAUGAAUUCCAGGGGGAUGGGCAAAACCCAUAAAAGCUAAACAUAGCUGAAGGAAGAAGGUAGAAAUUAGAUGGCUGAGCAAUUUUUUUUUUUAAGCCAGAGAAACAAAGUAGUCACUGGCUGCUGAAUUACAUUUUCGACAUUGCCUUCCAGUAUUUACUGGAAUGUAACUUAUCUGUACUCCACAUUUAUCUUUGCUUACUAGAAGUUCUAGCAUUUGGGGUGGUGCUUGUUGAUAAUGACCAAAGCACAAGAUAUUAAACAUCUACACUUCCUAGACCAGGGAGGGGCUCUCACAAGAAAUUUUUUGGUGGCCUGAGAGUGCAGCCAACAACUUCCCCACGCCCCCAAAAAUACUUACUUAACUUUAGAAAAAAACAAAUA